rnacentral:rRNA from 1 species
ACUCAAAUGAAUAGACGGGGGCCCGCACAAGCGGUGGAGCAUGUGGUUUAAUUCGAUGCAACUCGAAAAACCUUACCUACCCUUGACAUGUUGCGAACCUGACUGAGAAGUCAGGGUGUCGAAAGAAACGCAAACACAGGUGCUGCAUGGCUGUCGUCAGCUCGUGUCGUGAGAUGUUGGGUUAAGUCCCGUAACGAGCGCAACCCUUGUCCUUUUUUGCCAACAGGUCAUGCUGGGAACUCAAAGGAAACUGCCGGUGAUAAACCGGAGGAAGGUGGGGAUGACGUCAAGUCAUCAUGGCCUUUAUGGGUAGGGCUACACACGUGCUACAAUGGGGUGCACAAAGGGAAGCAAACUCGCGAGAGGGAGCCAAUCCAAAAAACACUUCGUAGUCCGGAUCGGAGUCUGCAACUCGACUCCGUGAAGUUGGAAUCGCUAGUAAUCGCGAAUCAGCACGUCGCGGUGAAUAUGUUCUCGGGCCUUGUACACACCGCCCGU